rnacentral:rRNA from 1 species
GAUGAACGCUGGCGGCGUGCCUAAUACAUGCAAGUCGAGCGAACAGACGAGGAGCUUGCUCCUCUGACGUUAGCGGCGGACGGGUGAGUAACACGUGGAUAACCUACCUAUAAGACUGGGAUAACUUCGGGAAACCGGAGCUAAUACCGGAUAAUAUAUUGAACCGCAUGGUUCAAUAGUGAGAGACGGUUUUGCUGUCACUUAUAUAUGGAUCCGCGCCGCAUUAGCUAGUUGGUAAGGUAACGGCUUACCAAGGCAACGAUGCGUAGCCGACCUGAGAGGGUGAUCGGCCACACUGGAACUGAGACACGGUCCAGACUCCUACGGGAGGCAGCAGUAGGGAAUCUUCCGCAAUGGGCGAAAGCCUGACGGAGCAACGCCGCGUGAGUGAUGAAGGUCUUCGGAUCGUAAAACUCUGUUAUUAGGGAAGAACAAAUGUGUAAGUAACUAUGCACGUCUUGACGGUACCUAAUCAGAAAGCCACGGCUAACUACGUG